rnacentral:lncRNA from 1 species
UACUAGCUGUUAAUAAUCUUCAGUUUCAACAAAGAACAUAAUCUAGUAUUCACACCUUGCAGAUACAGGUUGGACAGCUUGCCACCUCAAUGAAUGCCAUGCGAUCCCAAGGAUCAAAUCAACUUCCUGCCUAAGCAGUUGUGAAUCCAAAAGGUCCUAAUGCCAAUGUCAGUGCAAUUUCUUUGAGGUCCGGAAAGGUCACAGAACCAGCCCUUGAAAAAA